rnacentral:tRNA from 2 species
AGGGGUGUAGUUUAAUUGGUAGAGCAUCGGUCUCCAAAACCGAAAGUUGGGGGUUCAAUUCCCUCCACCCCUG